CCGGGUCCACACUGCUCCCAAACCGAUAUUCCCAAGCUCAGGGUUUGCGAAUUCUAGGGAUUAUAAAAAGAGCUCUAGAAGCUUCUUUUCUCAAAAUUCCAAUUUUCCUCCAUUUUGCACUUUCAAGUAUCAGCACCUUACUCCGGAACUAGCACUCUUGCUCUGGUAGCGCGUGCAUCGGCAUUCACGUGUGGACUUGCUUAUGGAAACAUUAAGCUCAAGUAUCUCAGGGCAAAGGCCAAGUCUCAAAAGAAGGCUGAAGCUAAGGCACAUCAUUGAAAGAGAGCAUAUGUUGGAUUUGAUG